rnacentral:rRNA from 1 species
GGGGGAAUAUUGCGCAAUGGGGGAAACCCUGACGCAGCAACGCCGCGUGCAGGAAGAAGGUCUUCGGAUUGUAAACUGUUGUCGCAAGGGAAGAAGACAGUGACGGUACCUUGUGAGAAAGUCACGGCUAACUACGUGCCAGCAGCCGCGGUAAUACGUAGGUGACAAGCGUUGUCCGGAUUUACUGGGUGUAAAGGGCGCGUAGGCGGGAUAGCAAGUCAGUCGUGAAAUACCGAGGCUCAACCUCGGGGCUGCGAUUGAAACUGUUAUUCUUGAGUAUCGGAGAGGAAAGCGGAAUUCCUAGUGUAGCGGUGAAAUGCGUAGAUA